rnacentral:rRNA from 1 species
UACGUAGGGUGCAAGCGUUAAUCGGAAUUACUGGGCGUAAAGCGUGCGCAGGCGGUUUUGUAAGACUGGCGUGAAAUCCCCGGGCUUAACCUGGGAAUGGCGAUGGUGACUGCAAGGCUAGAGUUUGGCAGAGGGGGGUAGAAUUCCACGUGUAGCAGUGAAAUGCGUAGAGAUGUGGAGGAACACCGAUGGCGAAGGCAGCCCCCUGGGUCAAAACUGACGCUCAUGCACGAAAGCGUGGGGAGCAAACAGG